AUGGGUUUGAAUCCUAGAUCAUGAACUAAGAUAUUAUACAAAUGGAAAAGAAAGGGGUGAACAUAACUAGGAAGAGAAUUAAAAAGGGGAGAUUCCAAACUUGGAUUGCUUAACAAGGGAGAAACAAGUGAGUUGGCAAGUCUCCUUUUAAAAAAGUAUAUGAUUGAGUAAAGACAGCCCAUCUACAGGUGGCUCUUUUCUUUUUUUUUUCGGCUUAUAGUUAUUGGUCCUUAAGCACUUAAUCAUUUCUAUCAACUCCUCUAUUCUCAGUUUCUCAAUCUAAGCCUCUGUUGCCCUAUUAUCACCAGAUUGCUGAAACUAGUGCUAAGGACUUGCUUCUUCCAAAUUUUCCAUACAUUCUUUGGUUCCACAAGUUAAUUUGCUGCACAAUUGUAAUGGGUUCCUGAUAAUUUGUUCUUCCUGGAUUUUUGGGGUUAUAUUGAACAAAAGCAAGAAUCAAUGGAAAGCGAGCCACCAAGCUGGGCAGAUCAGUGGGGUGCAGGGGGUAUUGGUGCCAUGGCAGAAGAGGACACUACCAAUAAGAAAGACACCAGCAAUAAUAAGAAGUCAGAUGGCAAAUCAGGAUUGAAUAAAGCCAAAGCAGCUGCAAUGGUGGGAGCUCAGAGGAUCAAGACUGGAGCGUCUACCAGCUUCAAAUGGGUCAAAAAUAAAUGCCAGAAAAAGGGCUCUCCUAAAUGAUCACACAAUAAAACUUGUUGCAGUUCUUGACAUCACUAUCCUUUUCUUGGGACAGUUUUGGCCUGUUAAUCAAGUUUUAAGUGUUGCAUCGUAUUUUAUUUGGACCA